rnacentral:rRNA from 1 species
AACGAACGCUGGCGGCAUGCCUAACACAUGCAAGUCGAACGAUGGUCUUCGGAUCAUAGUGGCGCACGGGUGCGUAACGCGUGGGAAUCUGCCCUUAGGUUCGGGAUAACAGUUGGAAACGACUGCUAAUACCGGAUGAUAUCGCGAGAUCAAAGAUUUAUCGCCUAGGGAUGAGCCCGCGUCGGAUUAGCUAGUUGGUGGGGUAAAGGCCUACCAAGGCGACGAUCCGUAGCUGGUCUGAGAGGAUGAUCAGCCACACUGGGACUGAGACACGGCCCAGACUCCUACGGGAGGCAGCAGUGGGGAAUAUUGGACAAUGGGCGCAAGCCUGAUCCAGCAAUGCCGCGUGAGUGAUGAAGGCCUUAGGGUUGUAAAGCUCUUUUACCCGGGAUGAUAAUGACAGUACCGGGAGAAUAAGCCCCGGCUAACUCCGUGCCAGCAGCCGCGGUAA